AGGACGAACGCUGGCGGCGUGCUUAACACAUGCAAGUCGAGCGGUAAGGCCUUUCGGGGUACACGAGCGGCGAACGGGUGAGUAACACGUGGGUGAUCUGCCCUGCACUUCGGGAUAAGCCUGGGAAACUGGGUCUAAUACCGGAUAUGACCUCAGGUUGCAUGACUUGGGGUGGAAAGAUUUAUCGGUGCAGGAUGGGCCCGCGGCCUAUCAGCUUGUUGGUGGGGUAAUGGCCUACCAAGGCGACGACGGGUAGCCGACCUGAGAGGGUGACCGGCCACACUGGGACUGAGACACGGCCCACGACUCCUACGGGAGGCAGCAGUGGGGAAUAUUGCACAAUGGGCGAAAGCCUGAUGCAGCGACGCCGCGUGAGGGAUGACCGGCCUCGGUUGGU
rnacentral:rRNA from 1 species